UACGUAGGGUGCAAGCGUUGUCCGGAAUUAUUGGGCGUAAAGAGCUCGUAGGCGGUCUGUCGCGUCUGCUGUGAAAUCUCAGGGCUUAACCCUGAGCUUGCAGUGGGUACGGGCAGACUAGAGUGCGGUAGGGGAGACUGGAAUUCCGUGGUGUGAGCGGUGAAAUGCGCAGAGUAUCAGGAGGGAACACCGGGUGGCGAAGGCGGGUCGCUGGGCCGUAACUGACGC
rnacentral:rRNA from 1 species